GGAUUGUGGCUCAGUGGUAGAGCACUUGCCUAGCAUGCAUGAGGCAUCAGGUUCGAUCCCUGGCACCA
rnacentral:tRNA from 1 species